CCUUUUGGGCUGGCAUAUGAGAGUUUACAACAGGUCUGUUCCAAAGGCCACAAGAUUUUACAUCUUUUUGCAACCAAGAGCAGCACCGUGUGGAUAUGUCAUAACUGUGUGCACAACAAAUUCAAGCACUGGGUCGAGGAGGUGGAUGGUCCAUAGCACAUGAUUCAUUCUAAUUCACAUUUGACCCUUCCACUGCAUCUUGUAAGGCUGAGGUUCAAACAUUUAGAAACCAGAGAUCUGACUUUUUUGUGCUGCUUCAUUCCAACUGCUUGUGGGGAAGGAAGCAAUCUCACUGGUGUCCCUGCUUUGCAGUAAAAGCCCCUGUUCCUUGGCCA